CAUGCGCGACAUUGUUUUUUUCCAUCGAUUUUCCAUAAUUUCGUCGUCACGAUUUUCGUCGACGCAAACAGUUUGACAGUUCUCUUCAGUUAAUCUUGUUUGGACUUGAUUUCAACCGAAUUGAACCAGUUGUCGUUGCUGUUGGGCUACUGGAGGAUUUUAGCCGAUUGACAGGUAAGUUGUGUUACUUUUCCGGAAAGUUUCGGCUGGAGUGGCGAACGGCCUAAUCAUAGUCUUAUGUUCUGGAUUUCCAGAUUUCGGUUGUCGUGGCGGUGAAGGACGAAGACGGGACAUAUCGUUAAUCCGGUGGGCCAUGUCCAUGGACUAUGCCGGAGGACGGUAUCGGAAGGAAUCGGUCUGCGAUUGAGAAAGCGGAUUGGUGUUUUGCUUUCCGUGGAAGUUGCAUUCCCAAAGGAAGGAGGGAGAUGGAACAUUCAAGCUCGGGAGUCAAUCACUUUUCCGCGUGAAUAAAAAGGUGGAGGAGGACGGAAUAAUAAACUCCCGCGACGUUUCUAAACAGCCAGAAUUUGUUAAUGGAACCGCUCUGUACAAACAGUUUCCAGAGUGCUUUUUGCUGGACGUCGACCAGCAAGAGGAAAAGGACAAUGAAAAUGCGUUGGUGGUGUUGGACUUCUAGCGGAAUCUCAAAAGCGCCAUUAUCAAAACUCAGUCUUCUUCCUGGAGAUACUUUCGGCCGAGAACAUUCUCCGGGUGAAGGCGAUCGAGGUGGACAAACUUCCCACGGGGCAGCACUAGAACAUUGGAAGGGUAGACAAGCAGAACCUUUCCAAAAGUGGUUGGUCAUCGUCGGACCAAAAGGAGUCGGUUUGUAUUUCCUUCUUGUACAACGGCCAAUCCCGUCAUUAAGCGAAAUUAAGAAAAUUAUGGAUGCAGUGAAAGUGAAUAUUUCAAAAACAAAGUGCCAGGCCAGUGCAAACUAAUAUAAAUGAAUAAACAUAAUCAAAAACAUAAA